UGGGUUCAGCAACAUAAUCCAGAAAGCGGCGAGGAAGCUGUGACCCUGUUGGAGGAUUUAGAGAGGGAGUUUGAUGACCCAGUGCAGCAGGUGGGAACAGAGAAAAGUGAUGUGGGAAAAGGAAUUUGCAGCCUGGCGCAUGUAAUGGUAUCGUAACAGUCCCAGCUAGUCCACAGGGACCAGCAGUGCCAUGGAAGGAUUUAACAUGUCUCAGAGCAUCCCAAGAGUCAACAGACAUCCACCUC
rnacentral:sRNA from 1 species